rnacentral:rRNA from 1 species
CCUACGGGUGGCAGCAGUAGGGAAUCUUCCACAAUGGGCGAAAGCCUGAUGGAGCAACGCCGCGUGGGUGAAGAAGGUCUUCGGAUCGUAAAACUCUGUUGUUAGAGAAGAAAGUGCGUGAGAGUAACUGUUCACGUUUCGACGGUAUCUAACCAGAAAGCCACGGCUAACUACGUGCCAACAGCCGCGGUAAUACGUAGGUGGCAAGCGUUAUCCGGAUUUAUUGGGCGUAAAGGGAACGCAGGCGGUCUUUUAAGUCUGAUGUGAAAGCCUUCGGCUUAACCGGAGUAGUGCAUUGGAAACUGGGAGACUUGAGUGCAGAAGAGGAGAGUGGAACUCGAUGUGUAGCGGUGAAAUGCGUAGAUAUAUGGAAGAACACCAGUGGCGAAGGCGGCUCUCUGGUCUGUAACUGACGCUGAGGUUCGAAAGCGUGGGUAGCAAACAGGAUUAGAUACCCCAGUAGUC